GCAUGGUGAGGAGGUGAUUAGUGUGUCUUGACCUUGGGUGUUCAUCUCACUGUCAGAGUUCUGGCUCCCAUCUGCAGUUGAUUAUGCAAUUAGCCAUGCAUGUUGACCUCAGGAUAGAUGUCGACGCCUUCUUGCUCCUCCUUCACUGCCUACCUUUCUCCAUUCCUCCCUCUCCCAAAGUCAUCUCCUUUGGUUGCAGGUUAGAGGAGGCUUCAAGCCAGUUAGGCCUGGUGUGCACAAUUCCUUGGAGUCAUGUGCUCUGAAACAUCUCUGGCUGGCCUGCUGGGGGACAUGGGAAGUGGAUUUGGGAAGGGGGUCUGUGUGCUGAGUCUUACGGCCCUGUUGCAUGCGCUUAUGGGGUCAUGUGGCCCAUGAGGUUAGGGACAAGUGCAAGGGACUGAGAGAGAAGUCAGCUGUGGUAAAGAAGGUCCAUCAGCUGAGUCCCAUCACAUUCAGAAAGUCGUCCUCCAAUGAGCCUGGGCCUUUCUGAGGGACAAUGGAAGAAGAGAGGCCAUGGAAGCUUGCCUACUUGUGGCUGGAAUGAAGUCAACUCAGCAUCAUCACUUAAGUCAGCACCUACUCCUCAGAAGCUCUGAUUGGCUGCUAAUGCCAUCACACGGGCCACCCUGCUAAUCGU
rnacentral:lncRNA from 10 species